rnacentral:misc_RNA from 1 species
UCAAUUUUUCUGUGAGGUUUGAGAAUCUCUCUUAAUGAGCCUUGAGGUCUUGGGCUCUCUCCAACGAGUCCUGCUUUUCUUUUCUGUCAUCAUAGGUCCAUCAAGAGGGAAAAAUCGCAACAAAGGGAAGGCUACAAGUUUUGGAGAAGACUUCGUAGUUCAUCGUCCCAUGACUCAAUCCCUGAUUCAUGAACAUAACAGAAUAUUCAAUUGUAAGUUUCAACCUGUCCUUAUUUUUCCUUCUGCAAUUUCUGAAUUCUCAAUUCAAGCUUCCUUACUCUAUCAAGUGGUCCAACCUACCCACCAUCCGAAUGCCUAACCCAAUAAUAGAAUGGAAUCUCGAGUAUAAUCAAUGCAAAGGAAUCUGGCGCUUAUUAAUGAUGGUUUUGCUAAGGUACAGCUGGAUAAUGACCAAACUUCAUUCCAAACUCACGGCCAUGGAAGGCCUUCUUACAAUGACUGCUAGGGGAAUAGCUAUCAUUGAUAAAGGAGACAUUAUUACUCAAACACCCAUGGGUCACAAACCACAGCUAUCAGUUCUCCCUGUCAAACCCCACCACACGCAUAACAUUCAAAGGAGGUAGCUAGCUACGUGAUGAAUGGAUUUACCCUUCUUUGAUGUUUCUGACCCAAUUGGAUGAAUUGCCUAAGCAAAGCAAUAUUUCGAAAACAAUGGAACACGCCCAGACCUUCAAACAGCCUUAGCAUUGGUUUGCAUGGAGGGCAGUUAAUAGAAGUCCCAAGAAAUAGAGACUCGGCACAAGGCAAUUGAAGGUUAGUUAUAGAAGAACUAGAAGAAUGACAGAAAAUUAUGGAGGAGAAAUAACAGUUAGAAGCACACAGCUAGAAUUAGUUAGUGAGGAGGUUACUUGAUGUAGUCACAUCAUAUAGGCAUCUAGGAAUCAUAUUCAUUACAUUUUAUUCAUAUUUAGUUACUUAUUAUUUUAUUUUUAUAUGUUUUUAGUUAUCUUUUAAGAUUUGUUUAAAUUGAGUGUGAUCCCAUGUUUUUGGACUUCAUUAAGUAUAUUUUGAAAGUCCAGUAAGGUGUGGAAGGAAUUGAAGAGGAGUUUAAUGUUAGGGUUAAGGAACCCUAA